CGAACGCUGGCGGCGUGCCUACUACAUGCACGUAGAACGCUGAAGGAGGAGCUUGCUUCUCUGGAUGAGUUGCGAACGGGUGAGUAACGCGUAGGUAACCUGCCUGGUAGCGGGGGAUAACUAUUGGAAACGAUAGCUAAUACCGCAUAAUAGUAGAUGUUGCAUGACAUUUGCUUAAAAGGUGCAAUUGCAUCACUACCAGAUGGACCUGCGUUGUAUUAGCUAGUUGGUGGGGUAACGGCUCACCAAGGCGACGAUACAUAGCCGACCUGAGAGGGUGAUCGGCCACACUGGGACUGAGACACGGCCCAGACUCCUACGGGAGGCAGCAGUAGGGAAUCUUCGGCAAUGGACGGAAGUCUGACCGAGCAACGCCGCGUGAGUGAAGAAGGUUGUCGGAUCGUAAAGCUCUGUUGUAAGAGAAGAACGAGUGUGAGAGUGGAAAGUUCACACUGUGACGGUAUCUUACCAGAAAGGGACGGCUAACUACGUG
rnacentral:rRNA from 1 species